rnacentral:rRNA from 1 species
ACGAACGCUUGCGGCGUGCCUAAGGAAUGCAAGUCGAGCGAGGUCAGGGAGCUUGCUCCCGAAGCCUAGCGGCGAACGGUCGCGUAACACGUAAGGAACCUGCCCUAAAGUUUGGGAUAGCCCGCCGAAAGGCGGAUUAAUACCGGAUGUGGACAACGAAACGCAUGUUUUGUUGUUUGAAGCAGCGAUGCGCUUUAGGAUGGUCUUGCGGCCUAUCAGCUAGUUGGUGUGGGUAACGGCCCACCAAGGCGACGACGGGUAGCUGGUCUGAGAGGAUGGUCAGCCGGACUGGGACUGAGAUACGGCCCAGACUCCUACGGGGGGCAGCAAUUAGGAAUCUUGCGCAAUGGGCGAAAGCCUGACGCAGCGACGCCGCGUGACUGAUGACGUCUUUCGGGAUGUAAAGGUCUUUUACGGGGGAAGAAAAAAAUGACGGUACCCCGUGAAUAAGCCCCGGCUAACUACGU